rnacentral:rRNA from 1 species
GUCUAUGGUCAUGCCACCUUGAACAUGCCCGAUCUCGUCUGAUCUUGGAAGCUAAGCAGGGUCGGGCCUGGUUAGUACUUGGAUGGGAAACCACCUAGGAAUAUCAGGCGCUAUAGGCA